rnacentral:sRNA from 1 species
GCUGGGCAUGGUGGCGCAUGCCUGUAAUCCCAGCUAUUAGGGAGGCUGAGGCGGGAGGAUCGCUUGAACCCAGGAGGCAGAGGUUUCAGUGAGCUGAGAUCAUGCCAUUGCACUUCAGCCUGGGUGACAGAAUGAGACCCUGUCUUAA